AGAGUUUGAUCAUGGCUCAGGAUGAACGCUGGCGGUAUGCUUUACACAUGCAAGUCGUACGGGAGUUUUUAACUCAAGUGGCGGACGGGUGAGUAACACGUAAGAAUUUGCCUUUAGGAGGGGGAUAACAACUGGAAACGGUUGCUAAUACCCCAUAUGCUUUCGAGUGAAACGGUUUUUCCGCCUAAAGAGAAGCUUGCGGCUGAUUAGCUUGUUGGUGAGGUAAUGGCUCACCAAGGCGACGAUCAGUAUCUGGUUUGAGAGGACGAUCAGACACACUGGAACUGAGACACGGUCCAGACUCCUACGGGAGGCAGCAGUGGGGAAUUUUCCGCAAUGGGCGAAAGCCUGACGGAGCAAUACCGCGUGAGGGAUGAUGGCCUAUGGGUUGUAAACCUCUUUUUUCAGGGAGGAAUCAAUGACGUGUACCUGAGGAAUAAGCAUCGGCUAACUCCGUGCCAGCAGCCGCGGUAAGACGGAGGAUGCAAGUGUUAUCCGGAAUCACUGGGCGUAAAGCGUCUGUAGGUGGUCAAAUAAGUCAACUGUUAAAUCUUGAGGCUCAACCUCAAAAUCGCAGUCGAAACUAUUCGACUAGAGUAUAGUAGGGGUAAAGGGAAUUUCCAGUGGAGCGGUGAAAUGCGUAGAGAUUGGAAAGAACACCGAUGGCGAAGGCACUUUACUGGGCUAUUACUAACACUGAGAGACGAAAGCUAGGGUAGCAAAUGGGAUUAGAUAC
rnacentral:rRNA from 1 species